AUACGUAGGUGGCAAGCGUUGUCCGGAAUUAUUGGGCGUAAAGCGCAUGUAGGCGGUGCCUUAAGUCUGUCGUGAAACUGCGGGGCCUGACCCCGUAUGGCGAUGGAAACUGUGGCACUUGAGUGCAGGAGAGGAAAGGGGAACUCCCAGUGUAGCGGUGAAAUGCGUAGAUAUUGGGAAGAACACCGGUGGCGAAGGCGCCUUUCUGGACUGUGUCUGACGCUGAGAUGCGAAAGCCAGGGUAGCGAACGGGAUUAGAUACCCCGGUAGUCCUGGCCGUAAACGAUGGGUACUAGGUGUGGGAGGUAUCGACCCCUUCCGUGCCGGAGUUAACGCAAUAAGUACCCCGCCUGGGGAGUACGGCCGCAAGGCUUAAACUCAAAGGAAUUGACGGGG
rnacentral:rRNA from 1 species